ACGGGAGGCAGCAGUGGGGAAUAUUGCACAAUGGGGGAAACCCUGAUGCAGCGACGCCGCGUGAAGGAAGAAGUAUCUCGGUAUGUAAACUUCUAUCAGCAGGGAAGAUAAUGACGGUACCUGACUAAGAAGCUCCGGCUAACUACGUGCCAGCAGCCGCGGUAAUACGUAGGUGGCAAGCGUUAUCCGGAUUUACUGGGUGUAAAGGGCGCGUAGGCGGGAAAGCAAGUCAGAUGUGAAAUCCAGGGGCUCAACUCCUGAACUGCAUUUGAAACUGUUUUUCUUGAGUGUCGGAGAGGUAGAUGGAAUUCCUAGUGUAGCGGUGAAAUGCGUAGAUAUUAGGAGGAACACCAGUGGCGAAGGCGAUCUACUGGACGAUAACUGACGCUGAGGCGCGAAAGCGUGGGGAGCAAACAGGAUUAGAUACCCUGGUA
rnacentral:rRNA from 1 species